AGUGAACGCUGGCGGUAGGCCUAACACAUGCAAGUCGAACGGCAGCACAGUAAGAGCUUGCUCUUACGGGUGGCGAGUGGCGGACGGGUGAGGAAUACAUCGGAAUCUACUUUUUCGUGGGGGAUAACGUAGGGAAACUUACGCUAAUACCGCAUACGACCUACGGGUGAAAGCAGGGGAUCUUCGGACCUUGCGCGAUUGAAUGAGCCGAUGUCGGAUUAGCUAGUUGGCGGGGUAAAGGCCCACCAAGGCGCCGAUCAGUAGCUGGUCUGAGAGGAUGAUCAGCCACACUAGAACUGAGACACGGUCCAGACUCCUACGGGAGGCAGCAGUGGGGAAUAUUGGACAAUGGGCGCAAGCCUGAUCCAGCCCUACCGCGUGGGUGAAGAAGGCCUUCGGGUUGGAAAGCCCUUUUGUUGGGAAGGAAAAGCAGCAGGUUAAUACCCCGCUGUUCUGACGGUACCCAAAGAAUAAGCACCGGCUAACUUCGUG
rnacentral:rRNA from 1 species